UUGGGAGUCUAGCGAGACUGCCAGUGAUAAACUGGAGGAAGGUGGGGAUGACGUCAAAUCAUCAUGCCCCUUAUGACCUGGGCUACAAACGUGAUACAAUGGCUGAAACAAAGGGCAGCGAAGCAGUGAUGUGGAGCGAAACCCAAAAAAGCAGUCUCAGUUCGGAUUGAAGUCUGCAACUCGACUUCAUGAAGUUGGAAUCGCUAGUAAUCGUAGAUCAGAACGCUACGGUGAAUACGUUCUCGGGGUUU
rnacentral:rRNA from 1 species